GGAGGUAGUGACAAUAAAUCACAAUGCGGAACCUUUGGUUUUGCAAUUGGAUUGAGAAGAAGGUACAAAUCAUAUCGAUAAACAAUUGGAGGGCAAGUCUGGUGCCAGCAGCCGCGGUAAUUCCAGCUCCAAUAGCGUAUAUUAACGUUGUUGCAGUUAAAAAGCUCGUAGUUGAAGUUGGAUGAGUAUUUGAGAUGAAUUUUCGAAUUGAUUUCGACUACUUAUCAUUUCUAGUAGUUAUGCUUGGGUAUUCAAUUACUUGAGUAUGAUAGCUAGUCAUUUACUGUGAGAAAAUUAGAGUGUUUAAAGCAGACGUUUGUUUGAAUAGAUUAGCAUGGAAUAAUAAUGAUAUGCUUGAUUUCAUUGAUUGGUUAUGAAAGAUAGCAAGAUUAAAAGGGACAGUUGGGGGUAUUCAUAUUCAAUAGUUAGAGGUGAAAUUCUCGGAUUUAUGGAAGAUGAACAAGUGCGAAAGCA
rnacentral:rRNA from 1 species